ACACGCGCUGGCAAAGAACGAGUGCUGAUAACACCCCAAGGACCCGUUUCGACGACGACGCGUUCAGUGUGCAGCAAGUUCAAAUGGCAGAACGAAAACUGCUGAAGUUCGUGCAUGUUCUGGAUGGAGUUCUGAAACACACUGAAGAUAAGAUCAGGAAGCUGUCAGACGAGAGCGGCAAGACAGGCCUGAUGUAAAAGUCCACCAUCGUAAGAUCACUGUCCAUUUGUCUCACAAGACUGCCAAAGACCCUGCUUCGCAAAAGGACAGGCAGACCACGGAAAUUUGUGUCGAAUGUUUAGAUAAUAUAAUUGAAUUGGCAAGACGUGUAGUCUGCUGGGCUGUGGAAAAACUUCUCAAACUGUAAGAUUAGGCAAUGCCCCACCACAUGUUUUUUUCAAAAAUAAAGUCAUUUUUU
rnacentral:lncRNA from 1 species